AGAGUUUGAUCCUGGCUCAGAUUGAACGCUGGCGGUAUGCUUAACACAUGCAAGUCGAACGGAAACGAUGCUAGCUUGCUAGUAGGCGUCGAGUGGCGGACGGGUGAGUAACGCGUAGGAAUCUGCCUGAUAGUGGGGGAUAGCCCGGAGAAAUUCGGAUUAAUACCGCAUAAUCUCUACGGAGUAAAGUGGGGCCUCUAUUUAUAGGCUCACGCUAUCAGAUGAGCCUGCGUAAGAUUAGCUUGUUGGUGGGUAAAAGCCUACCAAGGCGACGAUCUUUAGCUGGUCUGAGAGGAUGAUCAGCCACAUCGGGACUGAGACACGGCCCGAACUCCUACGGGAGGCAGCAGUGGGGAAUAUUGGACAAUGGGGGCAACCCUGAUCCAGCAAUACCGCGUGUGUGAAGAAGGCCUGAGGGUUGUAAAGCACUUUCAAUUGUGAAGAAAAGUUAACGGUUAAUAACCGUUAGCCUUGACGUUAACUUUAGAAGAAGCACCGGCUAACUCCGUGCCAGCAGCCGCGGUAAUACGGAGGGUGCAAGCGUUAAUCGGAAUUACUGGGCGUAAAGCGUGCGUAGGCGGUUUAUUAAGUCAGAUGUGAAAGCCCCGGGCUUAACCUGGGAACUGCAUUUGAAACUGGUCAACUAGAGUAUGGUAGAGGAAAGUGGAAUUUCUGGUGUAGCGGUGAAAUGCGUAGAUAUCAGAAGGAACAUCAAUGGCGAAGGCAGCUUUCUGGACCAAUACUGACGCUGAGGUACGAAAGCGUGGGUAGCAAACAGGAUUAGAUACCCUGGUAGUCCACGCCGUAAACGAUGAUAACUAGCCGUUGGGAGGAUUUACCCUUAGUGGCGAAGCUAACGCGUUAAGUUAUCCGCCUGGGGAGUACGGGCCGCAAGGUUAAAACUCAAAGGGAAUCUCGAAAAUAAGAUAGGGGGAUUUUACGCUAACUAUUAAUUCCUGACUUUUCAAAAACAAUAUUUGCUUCACCAAGUAUUUUUUUAUUUAGAGUUAUGUUCCAUGCUUGCAU
rnacentral:rRNA from 1 species